AUUGAACGCUGGCGGCAGGCCUAACACAUGCAAGUCGAGCGGAGCGGCGGACGGGUGAGUAAUGCCUAGGAAUCUGACUGGUAGUGGGGGAUACCGUCCGGAAACGGGCGCUAAUACCGCAUACUAUCAGAUGAGCCUAGGUCGGAUUAGCUAGUGGGUGGGGUAAAGGCCUACCAAGUCGACGAUCCGUAACCGGUCUGAGAGGAUGAUCAGUCACACUGGAACUGAGACACGGUCCAGACUCCUACGGGAGGCAGCAGUGGGGAAUAUUGGACAAUGGGCGAAAGCCUGAUGCAGCCAUGCCGCGUGUAUGAAGAAGGCUUUCGGGUUGUAAAGUACUUUCAGUGGGGAGGCGUUACCCGCAGAAGAAGCACCGGCUAACUCCGUGCCAGCAGCCGCGGUAAUAC
rnacentral:rRNA from 1 species